UACUUCUUCAAUCGAUCCAUUGUCCAUGGAUUCACUAUUUAGGACAUAUAUCGUUUAUAGAGAUAGUCCUAAAUAGUAUCUUUGCCAUUUGAUGUAUAAGAGUCAUCUAUACAUCUAUUUAUUGUCCCCAAAGGUUUCUUCCAAAGAUUGACUUUCAGGGCAUAUUUCCAACAAAUUAAGGGUCGAUAAUUAAUUGGCAUGCAUAAAUCCGUUGCUAGAAUAUAAGGAAGUUUCACAUAAUCGUUACAAACUUAUAUUCACAUGUAGUGAAGGUGGCUUAUAAACGAUCGCGUUAAGUUCAAUUCCUAGCAUGAGUGACAUGAUGUCAUAGUUGCAAGUGCUUUCUUAACGCUUAUGAUUUUCAUUAAACGUAAUGAUCUUUUAUUGUAUCUCUAUUAUGAUGUCAUGUAGGGAACUUUAGAAUAAUGUUUUGGGUUGUCGAAUGAUGUCAUCCAAUCCAAUAAAACAAGGAAAAUCUGAAAGUUAAUUAGUGAUGUCACGGUUAAUUUAGAGCAUUGUCGUUCAUAAUUCAAUGAAGUAGUAACUGGAAAUUGAGUUAUUUGCUUACAUGUCAUGUGUGGAGAAAAAGCCUCUAGCUAUCCCAUCCAUCAUCUUAUUUCUUAAAUUUGUUUUACAAUCUGUCUAGUUUUUUCAUACUUGUUUGUUUGUUUCAACUUCGUCCAAAACUCAAUCCCUCUAUACUUUAGUGUGUCUAAUUAGUUAGAAUAUGUUUUAAUUUGUGUUUUUAAAUGUUUUGAUUCAAGUAAAAGUCAAUUUUCAUCCAAAGUCAUUCCUAGUGUCUAGUUUAAGUUUAUUUAGUUGCUCUAAACUGAUUUGAGUAUUUUAAGUUUGCUUUGAGUCUUGUGAGUCUUGUUAAGUAUUUUUAAGUUUAGUUUUAUAUUUUUGAGUCAGUUUAGAGGUUAUUAGCAAGCCCUCUUAAUCCCCGGUCCAGAACGAUCCCUACUUAUACUUAUACUACAGUUGUCAAAAGAGGGUUAAAUUUGUGUGUUGAGAUAAUUUUCGCAUUAGCGGUCAAUAUUUUAUUUUAUGAACUUACAAAUCCAAUUCGGGAAGAUCCGUACGUUGGAUUCCCGAUUCGUAAGUUUCUAUUGUUCUCAAAUAUUAUGUACAAUAAUGUAUUAAAGUUUGGUGACGAUCCAACGAUCGGAUCGUCGAUUCAUACAAUGACCUAUUAAUGUAUCAUAGAGAUUUUAUGUUCCAACAAUCAAUCUAUGUCAUACAAUUACCAAGACUGAACUCAAGGCAUCUAAUUUAGCCUAAAAAUGACAUCGACGGCCCCCUGGCCACGCGCCGCCGUGGGUGGCAGUCGGUCGUCCCGACUCACCAGAAAAUCCAACUAUUUCCAAAAAUUACCAAAAUUUACAGAAUUGAAGAUCUCAAUGAGUAGAAUAACUUUCAUAUCAGUGACCAAGGUCAAUUUGGCCAGGAAAAGCUCCCAAAUCGCAAUGAACCCGUCGAAACCCUACACUUUGGGUGU
rnacentral:lncRNA from 1 species